ACAAUUAUAAUAUUACUACAAUUGUUAUUUUUUUUUUAGAAAAAUCUUUAUUUUUAGUAUAUUAACGAAAAAAUUUUUUUAGUGAUAGUUUAAUAGUACUGUGAAGGAAUUUUUGAAAUAACUUAAAAUUUUGAAUUUUAAAAAAGUAUAUUUUAUUUAUAGUACCUUUUGUAUCAGGGUUAAUUAAUUAAAAUAAUUUAUUUUUAUAUCUCGAUUUUAAAAGAGCUAAUUUAAUAUAUUAUUUAAUGUUUCAUAAUUAUUAAUAAUAUUAUUUAGUAGGGAAAUCCUAAUCGAUUUUAAAGGUAUCUAGUUUUUUAAUAAAUAAAUUUAAUUUACUUUAUUCAUUUAUAUUUUAUAUUUUAUUAUAAUAUAUUUGCUUAAGGAAAUAUUAUAGGGGAUAAGCUCUAUAUUAUUCCUAUAAUAAUUGAUUUAAUAAAUUUUUGUAGAAUUAAAAGUAUUCAUCAUUAUAGAGGUUGUUAUAAAUUAUAUUUUUUAUUAAUUGAUUUUUUUUUAUUUAGAAUAAUAUUAAAAUAUUAAAGUGAAUUUAUUAUUUUUAGUAAUAAUGAUUAAAUUAGUAUAAAAUUUUGUUUAUUAUUUGUAAUAAUUUAUGAUAAAAUAAGGAACUCGGCAAAUAUAAUUCUCGCCUGUUUAUCAAAAACAUGUCCUUUUGUGAUUAAUUUAAGGUCUGACCUGCCCGGUGAUUAAUUUAACGGCCGCGGUAUAUUGACCGUGCAAAGGUAGCAUAAUCAUUAGUCUUUUAAUAGAGGGCUGGAAUGAAGGGUUUAACGAGGAAUUGACUGUCUCAUUUUAUUUGUUUUAAAAUUUAAUUUUUUGGUUAAAAAGCUAAAAUAAUAUUGGAAGACGAGAAGACCCUAUAGAUCUUUAUAUAAUAAUAAAUAACUAUUAUUAUAUUUAUUUAGUUAUUUACUGUUAUAUUUUGUUGGGGUGACAAAAAUAUAUAAUAAACUUUUUUAUUUUAUUAACAUUAAUUUAUGAAUAAUAGAUCCAUUAAUAGUGAUUAUUAGACUAAGUUACCUUAGGGAUAACAGCGUAAUCCUCCUCCAGAGUUCAUAUUUACAGGAUGGGCUUGCGACCUCGAUGUUGGAUUAAGAUAAUAAUUAGGUGUAGCUGCUUAAUAUAUAGGUCUGUUCGACCUUUAAACUUUUAACAA
rnacentral:rRNA from 1 species